CCGGGACAGCCCCGGAGGCGCGGAGCCCCGCAGGUGGCCCGGGCGGGACCGAGGUCGCGGCGCCCCCGCUCGGCGCUGGGCAGGCUCGGCCUCCGCGAGGCCCGGAACCCGGACCACGGGGCGAAGCGCUCAAGCCUCGGGGUUUCGGGGACACGCCUCCGGCAGGAGGGGGAUUACAGAACGUUGAGACUGGAUGAAACGUCCAGAAGAGCCCAGCUUUGAACAACUGAGGGUAAAUGAAGUAACAGGACAGGAAACCUCAAGCUUUCAUAUUGACCAAAUGCUACGAGUUGAGCCUAAUGCACACCCAGAACCUAGGAGCGAGGAGAUCUAGGGGAUGGAUUUGCUUUCCAGACUCUCCAGCGGAGUGAGGAAUUCUGAAACGAGGUUGGAAGAUGUGCUGACCUCGCUCCUGUAGGCUUGUGUCCAAACAACCUACAGGCAUGACUCCGCAGACCUGCACACAGAUACUGACUUCGCUUUAUGUGUUCAGCCCGGGACAGUGAGGACAGUGUCUGUUUUCUGGCCAUCCUCCACCCGAGCCCUGGAGCUGGAGCGGUUGCAACGCCAGGCCUCUCCAGCACUGAAGUGGCAGAUGCAUGGUCAAGAGGAGCCAAGGAACGCAUGCUGUACCGUAUGCCAGGGCCAGUAGGGCAUGAUUGCUCGGGUGGAAAGUGGUAGUGAAACAUUAACCUUUUCUCAGGAAUGCAGAGGCACAGGAAAAAGGACCAGAGCCAGGGGAAAUACCAAAGAAGAAAAAACCAGGAAGAGCAAAGGAGACCAAUGGCAAGGACAGCACAGAGAGAAAUCGUGGCAUGCAAGGCAAGCAGCAAGUCCCCUGAGAGCUGAGAAGAGAGGAAGCAAUCAACCAAGAGUGGUUCUGUUAUGUGAAAAGGGGGACAAACAGCUUCCUAGGCCCCCAAAGUGUACCACUGAAAACAUUCACAUUCAGAAUGAACGAAUGAAUGAAUGGUUGAUUAUUCAUUCAUUCAUUCAUUCAUUCCUUAUUCAUUUGUUCAUCCGUCCAACCAACAGUGAGUUCUCUCUGCGGGACUCCUAAACUUGAUUUUCUUUUUUCUUUUUUCAAUAAUUUUAUUAUUUUUUAAAGUAUAUGAUGUAUUUUCUGUUAUAUAAGUUCAGACUUCAGUUUCUCUAAACUUGAUUUUCUAACAAACUCUCACUUCUUCUAUUCCAAUAGAGCAAGGGUCUUAGAUUCCCUGAUUUGUUGCAACAAAGAGAGUGUCACUACAUUUUUCUGGCCUUAUAUAUAUACACUCAGGAGCAUGAUGUCUGGCACAGAUAACACAGAUGAACAACAUUAUUUUCAUGAGAAGGGAAUGACAGUAAGGAAGAAUGCUUAUCUCUAUAGGCUCUCUCAUCUGUGGGUACCAUAAGGCCCCACCCCCAUCUCCAGAAAGAAAAUAAAUCCUGAACAAGAGAGAGAAUCCCAAAGUUCACCAAGAAAACCGUGCUCUGACUCCUGAAUUUCUAAAUUGGGUGGAUUUGAGACUCAAGAUAGUUCAGUCAUGUCAAGUCAGUUAUAGGAAAAAAAAAUACAAUUUUUGCAUAUCAAGAUUUGUGGCUCAAGAAACUGAGGUUUGUUUGGAAAUAAAUAUUGAAAAAAAAAAACUCAUUCCCAGAAUUUUCUAGUUAAAAAAUUUUAUGGCAAGUUACAGGACCUCUAUUUAACAACAACAAAAAUGGUAUUAUGUUCCCAUAAAUAUAAUUUAGUGCUUUCCUACUUUUGAAAAAAUAACUUAUUUUAGAUGCAGAGUCUCAUAUUCAAGUCUGACAAUUAGAAUAGAUUUUUCAAAAAACCGUAUUACAAUCCCAUAGUUUUAAAUUUAGUUUUACAAUGCUCAGAUGGUAAUGUGAAUAGAAAUGGUAACUCAAUUACUUUUCAAAUAAGUACCUUGAUGAAUAUAUUCAUUUUCUCCUGACAGGGAAUUAUUAUUGCCUUAAAUUUAAUCUUAGUUCUGCACAUGCUGCAGGGAUUUUCAUGGCUAAACUGUUUUAAAUUAUCUUAUGAUUCAUCUACCUUGAAAUAUGAACGCACUCUACCCACAAAUAGGCGGAAUUAUACAUAGUAGAUGGCAGAUUACUUUAAAUUUGAUUUUGUAGAAAUAUUUUAUUAAAACAUUUCUCUUAUGUGGCUAAAAAUCACACCCCUUGAUUCGCUUUGCGGGCAGCAUCGGGAGACUGGACUGAGCUGGUGGUAUGUGUGCUCGUUCAUUCAUUCAACGAACACAGAGUUAAGCAGAUAAAGGAUCAAGGCCAGAAGCUGUGCUAAAACAAAGACGAUCAAAUCAGUCUUCAUGUGUAGAAGGUACUGAGGAAGGAAAGGCCAGUCUGUAUUCUCUACGGACAGGACUGGGGCUGCUGGUUCUGGGGGAUAUGUUAUUUGCUCUCUGGUUUGAAAUAACCCAUGGACAGAAGGUAGGGGAGAACAGAAUUUAGACUGUAGCCGAAAUAGAACAGAAAUCUGCAGGUGAAUCUGACUGUAUGAGUCUAACACAGAAAGGCUACACUUACCUUAGCCUUAUACAUAUUAAGAAUAUGGACAUUAUCAAGUCUCAAAAUAUUAUUCCAAAGGUCAGUACCAACGCUUUGUAUACUUAUCUCUAGUUAAAAGUUGGUACAGAUGGACAAAUGCCAAGAACUGGAAGAUAUAAAGGCACCUGUGGGAUAAGAAGGGCAACUACCAUUGAGUUAAUUUGACCCGGUGGACCUUUAUUUCUCCAGCAAGGGAUUGGAUAGUCUGCAUUGUAUUCAUUCACAUUAUAAACUAGGGAACGAACUUGGAAAGGCGAAGUUCCUUUCCCACACAGGCCAGCGACUCGUGUCAAUUUGGAACUCACAGUGAAAUGUGGCUUUGGAAAGCGUGUUUUCUCCACGCAGUGCUCUCAAGUUUGUUUUACGAGGGGCACCUGGGUGGCUCAGUCGGCUAAGCAUCCAAGUCUUGGUUUUGGCUCAGGUCAUGAUCUCAUGGUCGUGAUGACACUCUGCACUCAUGGAGGAGUCUGCUUGAGAUUCUCUCCCUCUCCCUCUCCCUUCUCCUCUGACUGUCCCCCUACUCACACUCACUCUCUCUCUCUCUCUCAAAUAAAUAAAUCUUUUUUAAAAAAUUGUUUUGUGAGCAGAGUGCUUAAAGUAAUGGAAGAUAGUAUUACAAGUCUGAAGUCCAAUCAACCUCAAAGUGUUUAAAAUUUCUAAGGAAAGGUAGCUUUCCUGCAGCUCAGAAAGGUAAGCAAAGUCAUGCAGGCUCUGCAUUCGUACCAAAGGGGAAGAAGCAUUCACUUAAAAAGAACAGUAAAAGAUGAGCUUUUCAAGGACGGUACCUCCUUGGAGGAAAUCUGUAAACACUGUCAGUUUUGACCCCAUCUUGAGUUAAAUAAUCCUGCCCUCUUACACUGGAGCCGUCUUGAAUACAUGCACAUACACAACUGUGUUCCCUGAGCUAAUUACUUAAUCUUCUUAAAAUUUACUCUUCUCAUCUACAAAAUGAGAAUAACAAUAUCCACUUUCUAAGUCUGUUGUGAGAACAAAGGAGAUGAUCAUGUGAUGCAUUUAGCAUAGGGGCCAUCUAGAAGGUGAUAAAGGUCAAUAAAAGAUUGUAGUCAUUGAUGGAAGUUAGUACAAUAGAUACCCUAAGUAUGUAAACAGAUGUCGAUGAAGGGGUCGAAGGCCCAUAAUCUUACUCGGAUUUAUAAACAAAUCAGAUUAAGUGGGUUUCUGCACUCAAAUCAAUGAAGGCCAAUGUUGUAAAAGAACUCUGAGCGCUCUUGGUCUUUAUUGCCAUCUUUUUUGUUCUAGUGACAAAUAAUAGGCUUUUACAAUAACACCAUUAUGUGUUCCUGAAAAACUUUGCGUUUGCAAAAAUUUCACACUAAAAAUAACAAGGUCUGUGGGGAAAAAUAGCAUUAAGGGCAGAAUUGUUAAAACCAAUGCAACUUUGAAAUCAACACCCUACACAAAACCAAUUAAAAUCCUAAAAAGAAAUUACGCUAGUAUGGUGUAAUUUCCGUGGGCGCUUGCCAAAGAAUCUCAGUCAUUGCAGCCUCCGUGGCUCUUUGCACUGGAGUCGUGCUUCCUUUGCCUUUUGUAAUGAAUGUCCCUAAAGACAGUCACUUCCACAGAAAUCAGUUUAACCAAAAUUGAAAAUGCAAUCCAAGAGCAGCCUUCACACAACUUCCCUAAUACACUGGCCUCAUUCACCAAUGUACAAAUCAUAUAUAUUAAAUUAAUUGAGCAAGGAGGCCAUGGGACUGAGGUGAUUCUAAUACCUUAGCAGCCCGUGUUGGCAAUCCAAAACCUCAACCUGUAAAGGCCUCAAGGUUAAGAAACUGAAACCUAAGGACAACCAAUCACAAACACCCAAUGACGCUUUCCCAGAUAACAUAACUGCUUCCGCUACAGCCAAAUAAUUUCCUUGCUUUGUUUCCACCCUUUCUCUCUAGAAGUCUUUCCCCUGGCUUCUGCCAAUGGCAUGCUCCUGGCUACUUCCAAUUUGAUGUUGCCUGACUCAAGCUGAAUAUUGCUCACAUAAAUGCUUAAAAUCCCUAAUAUGUCUCAGUUGAAC